GACUACAGGGGUAUCUAAUCCUGUUUGCUCCCCACGCUUUCGUGCAUGAGCGUCAGUACAGGUCCAGGGGAUUGCCUUCGCCAUCGGUGUUCCUCCGCAUAUCUACGCAUUUCACUGCUACACGCGGAAUUCCAUCCCCCUCUACCGUACUCUAGCUAUACAGUCACAAAUGCAGGUCCCAGGUUGAGCCCGGGGAUUUCACAUCUGUCUUAUAUAACCGCCUGCGCACGCUUUACGCCCAGUAAUUCCGAUUAACGCUCGCACCCUACGUAUUACCGCGGCUGCUGGCACGUAGUUAGCCGGUGCUUAUUCUUACGGUACCGUCAUUAGCCCUCUUUAUUAGAAAGAGCCGUUUCGUUCCGUACAAAAGCAGUUUACAACCCGAAGGCCUUCAUCCUGCACGCGGCAUUGCUGGAUCAGGCUUGCGCCCAUUGUCCAAAAUUCCCCACUGCAGCCGCCCGUAGG
rnacentral:rRNA from 1 species